rnacentral:lncRNA from 1 species
CACUGCUCACUGGCCAAGCCUAACUGGAAUUUGGAGGGCAUUGUACUCCCAACAGAUCAGAGGGCAAGCAGACAGCAAGAGAUGUGCAGGUCACAGGAUGGAAGCUGUGUAUGGUCCUCACCAGCUUUGCUGCUGUUAGGCAUUUGAUUCCUGACUGAGACUGAAGGAAGAAAUGCAUUCCUGUUGAAACUGCUCAUUCGUUCUGAACUGCUGAUGCUCCCUUGAGGAUUUAUGGGUUCAACACUGCUGAACUGAGGAUUAGAAGUUUAACUCAAGGGCUGAUCUAUUUAGCCACCAUCCUGGAAAGAAAAGCCCAGCCUACCACGGAGACACUGUCUAGUCUCACUCGGCACCUGCUCUGCCUUCGUGUACGAUCCAGCCAGGAAAAUGAAAGUCCAUGUCUCCUUAACCCCCUUGAAGAGUUCCACGUGUUCUCUAGUCCUGCCAAGCAGCUGGCCUUCCUUCAGACCUGGACAUGGAUAUGCCUGGGAGGGUGGAUGUCUGGAUACCAUGGGGGCCAUGAGUAUCCUGGGUUCUCUGGUUUGGCCCAAUCUCAUCACAUGAGUCCUUAAAAUCGGAAUGACUUUCCCAACAUGAGCCAGAAGAAGGAGAGAUUUGAAACGUAAGAAGGACUCAACCUGCCACUACUGGCUUCAGAGAUGAGGGAAGAAGCCACGAGCUAAGGAAGGCAGGGGCCUCUAGAAGCUGAAGAGCAAGAAGACAGAUUCCACUUGAGUCUCCAGCAAGGAAACUGGCCUUACCAACAGCUCGAUUUUAACCCGGUGAGACUCAUGUUGGGCUUCUGAUCUCUAGAACGUAAGAUCAUAAAUUUGGGUGUUUAGGCCACUAAAUGUGUGAUCCUUUGUUAGGGCACCAGUAGAAAUCUAGCAUGUCUGUGUUGGAGCCCUAGCAUUCCAUUUGAGGAGUCACUGGUGCCAGGUGUCUGACUGGGGUGUCAGAGGGCUUUUCUUGGGACCGUUUGGUGGUGGGUUGGACUUUUCUACUAGACAGGCUACAUAAUUUGUGGGGCCCAGUGCAAAAUGGAAAUGUGGAGCCCUUGUUCAAAAUGUCAGAAAAUAGUGCCAUUUAUGGUAUUAAAAUAUAAAGCUUUUUCCUUUUUUUCUGCUGUCUGUCUCUCUCUCAACUCGCCCUGACUUUUUUUUAUUUGCUAUUUAAUAUCUUUCUAAGCAAAGAAAAAUUAAA